UGGGGAAUAUUGCACAAUGGGCGCAAGCCUGAUGCAGCCAUGUCGCGUGUGUGAAGAAGGCCUUCGGGUUGUAAAGCACUUUCAGCGAGGAGGAAGGCAGUCGUGUUAAUAGCACGAUUGAUUGACGUUACUCGCAGAAGAAGCACCGGCUAACUCCGUGCCAGCAGCCGCGGUAAUACGGAGGGUGCAAGCGUUAAUCGGAAUUACUGGGCGUAAAGCGCACGCAGGCGGUUUGUUAAGUCAGAUGUGAAAUCCCCGCGCUUAACGUGGGAACUGCAUUUGAAACUGGCAAGCUAGAGUCUUGUAGAGGGGGGUAGAAUUCCAGGUGUAGCGGUGAAAUGCGUAGAGAUCUGGAGGAAUACCGGUGGCGAAGGCGGCCCCCUGGACAAAGACUGACGCUCAGGUGCGAAAGCGUGGGGAGCAAACA
rnacentral:rRNA from 1 species